rnacentral:misc_RNA from 1 species
CCAAUAGCGUAUAUUAAAGUUGUUGCAGUUAAAAAGCUCGUAGUUGAAUUUCGGGAUUAGUACGUUGGUCGUGCCUUGGUACGUACUGGUGUAACUGAUUCCUCCCUUCUGACGAACCGUUAUGCCAUUAAUUUGGUGUGGCGGGAAAUCAGGACUGUUACUUUGAAAAAAUUAGAGUGUUUAAAGCAGGCUCGCGCUUGAAUACAUUAGCAUGGAAUAAUGAAAUAGGACGUUAAUCCUAUUUUGUUGGUUUCUAGGAUCGACGUAAUGAUUAAUAGGGAUAGUUGGGGGCAUUAGUAUUCAAUUGUCAGAGGUGAAAUUCUUGGAUUUAUUGAAGACUAACUACUGCGAAAGCAUUUGCCAAGGAUGUUUUCAUUAAUCAAGAACGAAAGUUAGGGGAUCGAAGACGAUCAGAUACCGUCGUAGUCUUAACCAUAAACUAUGCCGACUAGGGAUCGGAUGAUGUUAAUUUUUUAAUGACUCAUUCGGCGCCUUACG